AUGGAAUCCAGAGUCACUCCAACCCCUGUGACAUACCUUAUGUUGCCUCGGCGGAUCAGCCCGCGCCCCGUAAAAAGGGACGGCCCGCCGCAGGAACCCUAAACUCUGUUUUUAGUGGAACUUCUGAGUAUAAAAAACAAAUAAAUCAAAACUUUCAACAACGGAUCUCUUGGUUCUGGCAUCGAUGAAGAACGCAGCAAAAUGCGAUAAGUAAUGUGAAUUGCAGAAUUCAGUGAAUCAUCGAAUCUUUGAACGCACAUUGCGCCCGCCAGUAUUCUGGCGGGCAUGCCUGUUCGAGCGUCAUUUCAACCCUCAAGCCCAGCUUGGUGUUGGGAGCUGCAGUCCUGCUGCACUCCCCAAAUACAUUGGCGGUCACGUCGAGCUUCCAUAGCGUAGUAAUUUACACAUCGUUACUGGUAAUCGUCGCGGCCACGCCGUUAAACCCCAACUUCUGAAUGUUGACCUCGGAUCAGGUAGGAAUACCCGCUGAACUUAAGCAUAUCAUAGGGGGGGGAGGAA
rnacentral:rRNA from 1 species